UAAUACGGCCCAUACCAACCCAAGAACGCCCGGUCUCAUCUGAUCUCGGAAGCUAAGAAGGCUUGGGCCUGGUUAGUACUUGGAUGGGAGACCUCCUGGGAAUACCAGGUGCUGUAAGCU
ensembl:rRNA 5S_rRNA 5S ribosomal RNA